UUUUUUAAAAUUCUUGAUUGAAAACUUUUCAAUUACACACAGUCAAAAUGGAGCGCUACAUUUUAUAUAUUAAAUAAAUUUCUUAUUUCAUUAAAUUUUAACAAAUUUGAUGUGAUUACAAACUAAGAUGUUGGUUGAUAUAAUACUUUUAUGGUUUUAGGCAGAUGGAGGUUAUUAGCUAGAUCUGGUUUCUUUUUGGAAUUCUGUGAAAUGAUUUUUGCUAACUUUUAUUGGAAUAUGUAUGUAGUUCCUACAUAAAACUUAACAAAAUUGGCCAUUUUCGGAAUGUGAAUAUAUUCAUAAUAAAUUGAAAUGCUCAACACACUGCGGCCUGUAAACCAUUAACGAUAGUGUUAUACGCAAAGGCAAAUGUAGAUUGGCACAAUGUUAUUAUGGAUUUAGUCGGAGAGAAGUGAUUAGCUAAAAUGAAUUUUGAAAAUUUAUAUUGGAAUCUCAUCUAAAACUUGAACAAAUUGUUUAUGACGCUGAAACUAUUAUGUAUGGAUUUAUGAUCCGCUUAAGUUUAUAUUUACAUGGCAUUUUUACUAUAGUGCCUUUCAAAAACCAAACAUGGCGAGUUAUUUUAAAAAGUUUUAUAUAAUAUGAAUAAAAUACAAUGAAUUCGUAUAUGUACAUAAA